CACCCACUUUGGCCUCCCAAAAUACUGGGAUUACAGAAAAAGAAGCUCUUCUUCUGUUGAGAAUGUACAUCCUAGAACUGCUGAUAGACACAGAAGGGGGACAGAGAGAAAGAGAGAGAGAACACGCCAGUGAUUGAGAGAGGGCAUGACUGUCUUGAUGACACUGGUCAUGAGGCAACAGAAUUCCACAAUGAUGUGGUUGAGGAAAAUGGAGAACUGUCCACUGAGGAGCCCAGCAUAAUAAUGAACAACUAUCUGGAAUCUUUGGCUUUGGUAUCAAGCUAAUACUG